rnacentral:rRNA from 1 species
AUUGAACGCUGGCGGCGUGCUUAACACAUGCAAGUCGAUCGGUAACAGGUGUAGCAAUACAUGCUGACGAGAGGCGGACGGGUGAGGAAUAUUUGGGAAUCUGCCCAUCAGCGGGGGACAACCCGGGGAAACCCGGGCUAAUACCGCAUACGCUCUACGGAGGAAAGCCGGGGACCGCAAGGCCUGGCACUGAUGGAUGAGCCCACAUCGGAUUCGCUAGUUGGCGGGGUAACGGCCCACCAAGGCGACGAUCCGUAGCUGGUCUGAGAGGACGAUCAGCCACACCGGAACGAAGACACGGUCCGGACUCCUACGGGAGGCAGCAGUGGGGAAUAUUGGACAAUGGGGGAAACCCUGAUCCAGCGCCGCCGCGUGGGUGAAGCAGGCCUGCGGUUUGUAAAGCCCUUUCGGAAGGAACGAAAGCUCUUGCUCUAAUAAUCCAAGAGGUUGACUUAACCUAAAUAAGAAGCCCCGUCUAACUCUGUGCCCGCCCCCGCCGUAA